rnacentral:rRNA from 1 species
UACAGAGGGUGCGAACGUUGCUCGGAAUUACUGGGCGUAAAGCGCAUGUAGGCGGGUCGGCAAGUCAGAUGUGAAAUCCCCGGGCUCAACCCGGGAACUGCAUCUGAAACUGCUGGUCUUGAGUACUGGAGAGGGUGGCGGAAUUCCUGGUGUAGAGGUGAAAUUCGUAGAUAUCAGGAGGAACACCGGUGGCGAAGGCGGCCACCUGGACAGUAACUGACGCUGAGAUGCGAAAGCGUGGGGAGCAAAC